rnacentral:rRNA from 1 species
GACGAACGCUGGCGGCGUGCUUAACACAUGCAAGUCGAGCGGAAAGGCCCUUCGGGGUACUCGAGCGGCGAACGGGUGAGUAACACGUGAGUAACCUGCCCCAGACUUUGGGAUAACCCUCGGAAACGGGGGCUAAUACCGGAUACGACACAGCUUCGCAUGGGGUCUGUGUGGAAAGUUUUUCGGUUUGGGAUGGGCUCGCGGCCUAUCAGCUUGUUGGUGGGGUGGUGGCCUACCAAGGCGACGACGGGUAGCCGGCCUGAGAGGGCGACCGGCCACACUGGGACUGAGAGACGGCACAGACUCCUACGGGAGGCAGCAGUGGGGAGUAUUGCACAAUGGGAGGAAGCCUGAUGCAGCGACGCCGCGUGGGGGAUGACGUCCUUCGGGUUGUAAACCUCUUUCAGCAGGGACGAAGCGUAAGUGACGGUACCUGCAGAAGAAGCGCCGGCCAACUACGUG